rnacentral:rRNA from 1 species
AUACGAAGGGUGCGAGCGUUAAUCGGAAUUACUGGGCGUAAAGCGCGCGUAGGCGGUUGGAUAAGUCGGAUGUGAAAGCCCCGGGCUCAACCUGGGAAUUGCAUUCGAAACUGUCCGGCUAGAGUAUGGUAGAGGGAAGCGGAAUUCCACAUGUAGCGGUGAAAUGCGUAGAUAUGCGGAGGAACACCAGUGGCGAAGGCGGCUUCCUGGACCAAUACUGACGCUUAGGUGCGAAAGCGUGGGGAGCAAACAGGAUUAGAUACCCUAGUAGUCC